ensembl:lncRNA
GUGUGCUUUUGUAUAUUUUGCCAAAAUAGUUUUGACUCGUACCAGGAACCUCAUAAGUUCUACCAGAAGUACGAGUAGUAAUGCUUACAGUAAUGAGUAUGAUUUAGGGAACCGUAACAUUCUCCAAGUAGCUGAAGAAUAUAAGCAUCAAGAUAAUCUUGGUAUGGUGAUAUAACUACAGUAGUAAAAGGUACUAAUAUAGUAAUUACUAGAAAUGAUGGGGAAAACGGGCAGAAUAGCUGGGUAAAUCCUUUCUUUUGGAAGAUGCGUGGAAUUUCUUCUUGAGAAAUUAGAAUACUUGUUCUUUACACCACUUCAGACUUCUUUAAGGCUUGCUUUUUUCAUUUGAAAUAGUUUUUUUAAGUAAUCACGGAGGGGAAAAAAAAAAAAAAAAGCAAAUGAUGUCAAAGUCGAGUGAAAUGCACAAUCCUUUGUGUGUCUACCAGUAUAUUCUAUUUACUUAAUCUCCAAAAAACGUAAUAAAUAAAUAAAAUCAUGUUGUAGUAUGCACAACUGGAAGAGAGAAUCAUCAGAAGAAACAUAAAGGCAAAAGAAACAUGGGCUGCUUGUUUAGUUGCUGGUGCUGUAUAGUUUUUACAUGCUUACAUGAGACAGACUCGAUAGACAAAACAGAAUAGCAAAGCGUGCGUGUUAUUUAAAGGUGGGGCAAGAACAGAGUUCGUCAUGCAUGUUGUCACUGGACUUAAGAUCCAGAUGUAGAGAACAGUUAGUUCAGCAAGAGUACCUGCUAGAUUCUUUCUGUAUUCUAACUUAAGGCAGAGCAAGUAGAUGAAUGAAACAAAUGUCUUCAAUUCUUUGUAUCCUUGAGGACUUUCUGAAGCUUGCUUUCUGUCACAGCACUGACAGUGUCAUUACAGGGAGCCGAAAGUUGUUUCAUACCACAUGGACUGAGUAGACAUGAAACUGAAGCUUCACCACUGCCAGAGUAUGACCACAUGUAGAACACAUUUAAAAAUACUAGGUAAAAGGAAUGAAUAUUUUACUAGGAGUAAUCCAGCAGACUGCUUAGGAUAGCAGGAAUUUCUGAUGUUAAGGUUGAUGUUUAGGCAGUCAGUUGAGAUUUCUUGACUUGGAUUUGUGCAUUGGGUUGG